rnacentral:rRNA from 1 species
AUUGAACGCUGGCGGCAUGCCUUACACAUGCAAGUCGAACGGCAACGCGGGGCAACCUGGCGACGAGUGGCGAACGGGUGAGUAAUGUAUCGGAACGUGCCCAGUUGUGGGGGAUAACUGCUCGAAAGAGCAGCUAAUACCGCAUACGACCUGAGGGUGAAAGCGGGGGAUCGCAAGACCUCGCGCAAUUGGAGCGGCCGAUAUCAGAUUAGGUAGUUGGUGAGGUAAAGGCUCACCAAGCCGACGAUCUGUAGCUGGUCUGAGAGGACGACCAGCCACACUGGGACUGAGACACGGCCCAGACUCCUACGGGAGGCAGCAGUGGGGAAUUUUGGACAAUGGACGCAAGUCUGAUCCAGCCAUGCCGCGUGCGGGAAGAAGGCCUUCGGGUUGUAAACCGCUUUUGUCAGGGAAGAAACGCUCUGGGUUAAUACCCCGGGGUAAUGACGGUACCUGAAGAAUAAGCACCGGCUAACUACGUGCCAGCCGCCGCCGUAAAAC